rnacentral:misc_RNA from 1 species
GAUAAGCCUUAAUAACAAAAAUUUCUUCAAUAAUAAAAUCUAUGUUCCUACAAUUAAAAUAUAGCUUGAAAAGUCAAACAAUUAAAAAAUUGUUUGAUCCUCAAUCACAUGCAUUAAACUAUGAUAGUUAUCCAAUAGCCAAAGCUGCACAACCAUCAUUGUCCUCUGCUUGCUUGCAUGCCCUGGAAAGUACUUAUUCCCACACAUAUAACAAGGUUUUGGAGGUCUUUUAGACUUGAUUGCAAGGGAGU